AUUGAACGCUGGCGGCAUGCCUUACACAUGCAAGUCGAACGGCAGCACGGGGCAACCUGGUGGCGAGUGGCGAACGGGUGAGUAAUGUAUCGGAACGUACCAUUCAGUGGGGGAUAACGUAGCGAAAGUUACGCUAAUACCGCAUAUUCUGUGAGCAGGAAAGCAGGGGAUCGCAAGACCUUGCGCUGAUUGAGCGGCCGAUAUCAGAUUAGCUAGUUGGUGAGGUAAAGGCUCACCAAGGCGACGAUCUGUAGCGGGUCUGAGAGGAUGAUCCGCCACACUGGAACUGAGACACGGUCCAGACUCCUACGGGAGGCAGCAGUGGGGAAUUUUGGACAAUGGGGGCAACCCUGAUCCAGCCAUGCCGCGUGAGUGAAGAAGGCCUUCGGGUUGUAAAGCUCUUUCGGCCGGGAAGAAAUCGUAUGGGUUAAUACCCUGUGCGGAUGACGGUACCGGCAUAAGAAGCACCGGCUAACUACGUG
rnacentral:rRNA from 1 species